rnacentral:rRNA from 1 species
CCUACGGGAGGCAGCAGUGGGGAAUAUUGCACAAUGGGGGAAACCCUGAUGCAGCGACGUCGCGUGAGUGAUGAAGUAUUUCGGUAUGUAAAGCUCUAUCAGCAGGGAAGAAAGAAAUGACGGUACCUGACUAAGAAGCCCCGGCUAACUACGUGCCAGCAGCCGCGGUAAUACGUAGGGGGCAAGCGUUAUCCGGAUUUACUGGGUGUAAAGGGAGCGUAGACGGUGAUGCAAGUCUGAAGUGAAAGGCGGGGGCCCAACCCCCGGACUGCUUUGGAAACGGUAUGGCUGGAGUGCAGGGGAGGUAAGUGGAAUUCCUAGGGUAGCGGUGAAAUGCGUAGAUAUUAGGAGGAACACCAGUGGCGAAGGCGGCUUACUGGACUGUAACUGACGUUGAGGCUCGAAAGCGUGGGGAGCAAACAGGAUUAGAUACCCGGGUAGUC